GAUGAACGCUGGCGGCGUGCCUAAUACAUGCAAGUCGAGCGAACGGACGAGAAGCUUGCUUCUCUGAUGUUAGCGGCGGACGGGUGAGUAACACGUGGAUAACCUACCUAUAAGACUGGGAUAACUUCGGGAAACCGGAGCUAAUACCGGAUAAUAUUUUGAACCGCAUGGUUCAAAAGUGAAAGACGGUCUUGCUGUCACUUAUAGAUGGAUCCGCGCUGCAUUAGCUAGUUGGUAAGGUAACGGCUUACCAAGGCAACGAUGCAUAGCCGACCUGAGAGGGUGAUAGGCCACACGGGAACUGAGACACGGUACAGACUCCUACGGGAGGCAGCAGUAGGGAAUCUUCCGCAAUGGGCGAAAGCAUGACGGAGCAACGCCGCGUGAGUGAUGAAGGUCUUCGGAUCGUAAAACUCUGUUAUUAGGGAAGAACAUAUGUGUAAGUAACUGUGCACAUCUUGACGGUACCUAAUCAGAAAGCCACGGCUAACUACGUG
rnacentral:rRNA from 1 species